rnacentral:rRNA from 1 species
GUAGGGAAUAUUGGACAAUGGGGGGAACCCUGAUCCAGCCAUGCCGCGUGGAGGAAGACUGCCCUCUGGGUUGUAAACUCCUUUUAUAUGGGAAGAACCGUCCUCAUUAAUGAGUGACCUGACGGUACCAUAGGAAUAAGCACCGGCUAACUCCGUGCCAGCAGCCGCGGUAAUACGGAGGGUGCAAGCGUUAUCCGGAUUCACUGGGUUUAAAGGGUGCGUAGGCGGAUAAAUAAGUCAGUGGUGAAAUCAACGGGCUCAACCUGUUAACUGCCAUUGAUACUGUGUAUCUUGAAUAUGAGAGAGGUAGGCGGAAUGUUACAUGUAGCGGUGAAAUGCUUAGAUAUGCUACGGAACACCGAUUGCGAAGGCAGCUUACUAUUUCGUAAUUGACGCUGAGGCACGAAAGCGUGGGUAGCGAACAGGAUUAGAAACCCUGGUAGUCC